AUGCGAUACUUGGUGUGAAUUGCAGAAUUCAGUGAAUCAUCGAAUCUUUGAACGCACCUUGCGCUCCUUGGUAUUCCGAGGAGCAUGCCUGUUUGAGUGUUAUGUUAUCCUCAAUCCCCUUGGUUUUGUUAAAAUAAGACCUCUGGGUUUGGUUUUGGAGGCUUAUGCUGGCUUCACAGUCGGCUCCUCUUGAAAGCAUUAGCUGGGCUUUUGCUCGAUGCAAUGGUGUAAUAAUUAUCAUCACCAGUGCAGCUUGCAGUCAAAGCUUGCUUCUAAUUGUCUCAAUGUGAGACAUUGUAAGGACUUUGAUCCUUUGACAUUUUUGACCUCAAAUCAGGCCUAGGACUACCCGCUGAACUUAAGCAUAUCAAUAAGCGGAGGAA
rnacentral:rRNA from 1 species